rnacentral:rRNA from 1 species
GAUGAACGCUGGCGGCGUGCCUAACACAUGCAAGUCGAGCGACCAGACGAGGAUCUCUCUCCUCCGACGUUAGCGGCGGACGGGUGGGUAACUCGCGCAUAACCUACCUACCCGACUGGGCUAACUACGGCGACCCAGAGCUAAUACAUGAUGAUAUUUUUCACUUGACGGCUUCAUAGUGGAAGACGGGUUUUCUGUCACUUAUAGAUGGAUCCGCGCCGCAUUAGAUAGGUGGGAAGGUAACGCCUUCCCAAGGCACCGAUGCGUAGCCGACCUGAGAGGGUGAUCGGCCACACUAGAACUGAGACACGGUCCAGACUCCUACGGGAGGCAGCAGUAGAGAGUCUUACGCAAGGGGCGAAAGCCUGACGGAGCAACGCCGCGUGAGUGAUGAAGGUCUUCGGAUCGUAAAACUCUGUUAUUAGGGAAGAACAAAUGCGUAAGUAACUAUGCACGUCUUGACGGUACCUAAUGAAAAAGCCACGGCUAACUACGUG